GGUCGCCGCACCCCAGUAGAGGGAGGGAAGGCGGAGGCGACGGAACUCUACGUCACGCGCGGUCGCCAUGAUUAUUGAGGGCAGAGCGACGGCUGCGGAGAAGGGCAUGGGCGGCUUUCUUUGGUGAGGCCCAACGCUUUCGGGGACUAGGUGGAUAGUGAAUCUUUGGUUUUAUAGAUGGGGAAAUUGAGGCUCUGAGCUAGUUGUUGGUAUUGAAUCAGUGUCACAAGGGAUUUGGUUUGUCUUUAGACAUCUUGAACCCCAAACUAAGGCUCUAGCAAUUGAGUUUUCAAGCUUCUCAGUAAUUAAUAGGCAGAUGGUUUUCCUUCUUUAGCUUCCUUCCUCCCUCCCUUCCUUCCUUUUUUUUCUUCCUUCCUUCCUUCCAUCCUUCAUUCCUUCCUUUCUUCCUUCAUCCUUCUCCCCAUUUGUCCCACCCGCCCUUCUUUCUAUCUUAAUCUUCGUACCCAUCUUCUCUCUUCCUUUACAUUGCCUUCCAUCUUUUCUUUCCUAUUUAUUGUUCUUUCAGUAAAAAUGGUAACAAUAAAAAGUAUGGAGAAUUGAAAAACAAAGAAAUGAUUUUAAAAUUUCAGGAGAGUGAUUUCUUCUGGGAGUGAAGGAGGAGAGUGUGUUAUAGUAGAGGGGAUUAAGGGUUCAUCCAUUUUACUGUGGGACUUGAACAAACACACCCUAACCCCUCUCCAGCUCUGUUUUCUCAUAUCAUCAGGGGUUGCGCUCAGUUAUCUUCAAAGGCUUUUCCAGAUCUUACAUUCUCUGAGUCCAUAAAAACAGAUUGUGUAAGAUAAAAACUUUGGUUUCCUUGCUCUGGGCUAGAUGUCCUGAAUAUAGUAGAUAGAUAAGGGUCAUGGGAAUAUUACUUAACUUCUCUGUGUCUUAAUUCCUUAUCUGUGAAAUGUGGACAACAAUAGUACCUCGUUGUGAAAAUUACUACAGUACAUGGACAUGGUAAGUGAUCACUAAGUAUUAGCUAUUACUAUUGAUAAAUUAGCAACACAUUUAAGGUUCCAUUUUCAUGGAAAAGCUUUGUAUGGAUUAUACAGCCAUGUUGAACCUGUGGGCCUGGGAGCCCCCUCCAUCUUUGUAGAUUUCCCCUUGAGAAAGAAGGGGAUCUAAAGAUGUUACAGUUGGAAAUGCCAAAGGUGAACGGCCUUGGUAAGAGGGAUUACCCAAGGUAAAACCUCUUAGGGAUCCAGGCUGCUGGGGUUUUCCGUCUGUCUCAGAAAUUUAGGCAGGUGUGGUUCCCUGGUGCCCUGAUAAGAGAUGACUCAGCACAGGGAAGAGAACCACUAGGCUCACAGACCAACAACUUCCUUCUUUCCUGGGCUUUUCCCUUGGUGUCUACACAACCUGCAGCCUUCCUGCAUCAGGGCGGGAGGAGGACUUAUCUGAUGCCACAGACCAGUGGCUUUCAGAGAGGGUACACGUAAUUGUCUGCUGUCUGCCGUCUGCGGUUGCUCACUGUGUCAGUGACUGGGUAAAGUGUUUCCACUUCAGCCACAUCCUCCAGUCCAGCUUUGUCAGUAAUAAAGAUGACAUUUUGAUCUC